rnacentral:rRNA from 1 species
AUUGAACGCUGGCGGCAUGCUUUACACAUGCAAGUCGAACGGUAACAGGCCGCAAGGUGCUGACGAGUGGCGAACGGGUGAGUAAUGCAUCGGAACGUGCCCAGUCGUGGGGGAUAACGCAGCGAAAGCUGCGCUAAUACCGCAUACGAUCUAUGGAUGAAAGCGGGGGACCGUAAGGCCUCGCGCGAUUGGAGCGGCCGAUGUCAGAUUAGGUAGUUGGUGGGGUAAAGGCUCACCAAGCCAACGAUCUGUAGCUGGUCUGAGAGGACGACCAGCCACACUGGGACUGUGACACGGCCCAGACUCCUACGGGAGGCAGCAGUGGGGAAUUUUGGACAAUGGGCGCAAGCCUGAUCCAGCAAUGCCGCGUGCAGGAAGAAGGCCUUCGGGUUGUAAACUGCUUUUGUACGGAACGAAACGGUCCUGGUUAAUACCCGGGGCUAAUGACGGUACCGUAAGAAUAAGCACCGGCUAACUACGUGCCAGCCGCCGCCGUAACAC